UACAUGGGGUGCAAACGUUGCUCGGAAUUAUUGGGCGUAAAGCGCACGUAGGCGGUUUGUUAAGUCGGAUGUGAAAUCCCUCGGCUCAACUGAGGAAGUGCAUCCGAAACUGGCAGGCUUGAGUACUAAAGAGGGUCGCGGAAUUCCCGGUGUAGAGGUGAAAUUCGUAGAUAUCGGGAGGAACGCCGGUGGCGAAGGCGGCGACCUGGGUCGAGACUGACGCUGAGGCGCGAAAGCGUGGGGAGCAAACAGG
rnacentral:rRNA from 1 species